rnacentral:tRNA from 1 species
UGGACAGUAGCUCAGUGGUAGAGUGCUUGCCUAGAACACAUGAGGCCCUGGGUCCCAUCCCCAGCUCUCUGG